rnacentral:rRNA from 1 species
UACAGAGGGGGCGAGCGUUGUUCGGAAUUACUGGGCGUAAAGGGCUCGUAGGCGGCCAACUAAGUCAGACGUGAAAUCCCUCAGCUUAACUGGGGAACUGCGUCUGAUACUGGAUGGCUUGGAUCCGGGAGAGGGAUGCGGAAUUCCAGGUGUAGCGGUGAAAUGCGUAGAUAUCUGGAGAACACCGGUGGCGAAGGCGGCAUCCUGGACCGGUAUUGACGCUGAGGAGCGAAAGCCAGGGGAGCAAACGGG